AGAGUUUGAUCCUGGCUCAGAAUCAACGCUGGCGGCGUGCCUAACACAUGCAAGUCGAACGCGAAAGUCCCGCAAGGGAUGAGUAGAGUGGCAAACGGGUGAGUAACACGUGGGUGACCUGCCCUCGAGCGGGGGAUAACGUCCCGAAAGGGACGCUAAUACCGCAUAACAUCCUGCCUUUGAAGAGGCGGUGAUCAAAGCUGGGGAUCGCAAGACCUAGCACUCGAAGAGGGGCCCGCGUCCGAUUAGCUAGUUGGUGGGGUAAUGGCCCACCAAGGCAACGAUCGGUAGCCGGCCUGAGAGGGCGGACGGCCACACUGGGACUGAGACACGGCCCAGACUCCUACGGGAGGCAGCAGUGGGGAAUUGUUCGCAAUGGGCGCAAGCCUGACGACGCAACGCCGCGUGGAGGAUGAAGAUCUUCGGGUCGUAAACUCCUUUCGAUCGAGACGAAUUCCUCCGGGGUGAACAAUCCCGGAGGUUGACGUACCGA
rnacentral:rRNA from 1 species